rnacentral:lncRNA from 1 species
GGAUGUUAAGGUUUUUAAUAAAUCCUCAGACAUAAGACAUUUUUGAGGGCUCAAUGCCAGUCACAUAUGCCUCAAGGUUGUCAUGAUGAGUGAGGACAUCCCCAUGCUCUGAGUUAGACAACAGUGGAUGCAACAGAAGAGCCCUAAGGAAUCAGCUUUACUAUUUUGGCCUUUGAUGCUUUGGCUGCAUUUUAAACAGCAGCCUGUAACUCAGGUGCUAUUGGCUUCAGUGUCAGAUACAAGGUUGUUCUUUGGCUUCCUAAGAGGAUGAAGAGGCUGUGCUAAGAUGGCCCCCAAGGUCAAAUUCUGAUGAUCGAGAUAGAUCCCUCUACUUCUGCUUCAGAACAAUUUCCUGGGAGAGGAACCCAAGAGGUGAAGAGGAACCCAAGAGGCGAAGAGGAACCCAAGUGAGGUGGGGGCAAGUUUUCC